rnacentral:rRNA from 1 species
AUUGAACGCUGGCGGCAGGCCUAACACAUGCAAGUCGAACGAGUGGCGGACGGGUGAGUAAUGUCUGGGAAACUGCCCGAUGGAGGGGGAUAACUACUGGAAACGGUAGCUAAUACCGCAUACCAUCGGAUGUGCCCAGAUGGGAUUAGCUAGUAGGUGGGGUAACGGCUCACCUAGGCGACGAUCCCUAGCUGGUCUGAGAGGAUGACCAGCAACCCUGGAAUGGCGACAAGGUCCAGACUCCUACGGUAGGCAGCGGUGGGGAAUAUUGCACAAUGGGCGCACGCCGGAUGCAGCCAUGCCGAGUGUAUGAAGAAGGCCUUCGGGUUGGAAAGUACUUUCAGCGAGGAGGCGUUACUCGCAGAAGAAGCACCGGCUAACUCCGUGCCAGCAGCCGCGGUAAUUC